rnacentral:rRNA from 1 species
GGGGCCCGGCACAAGCGGUGGAGCAUGUGGUUUAAUUCGAUGAUACGCGAGGAACCUUACCUGGGCUCGAACGUAAGAUGACUGUAGGUGAAAGCUUACAUCUCUUCGGAGCAUUUUACGAGGUGCUGCAUGGUUGUCGUCAGCUCGUGCCGUGAGGUGUCGGGUUAAGUCCCAUAACGAGCGCAACCCCUACCUUUAGUUGCCAUCAGGUAAUGCUGGGGACUCUAAAGGAACUGCCUACGCAAGUAGUGAGGAAGGCGGGGAUGACGUCAAAUCAGCACGGCCCUUACGUCCAGGGCUACACACGUGCUACAAUGGCCGAUACAGAGGGCAGCUACCUGGUGACAGGAUGCAAAUCUCCAAAGUCGGUCUCAGUUCGGAUCGGAGUCUGCAACCCGACUCCGUGAAGUCGGAAUCGCUAGUAAUCGUGAAUCAGAAUGUCACGGUGAAUACGUUCCCGGGCCUU